AUAUUAUUCGUGAAACAAAAUAAUUACGAACGAACUUAUCUCGAUCGGGUUUCAGUUAGUGAAUUAUUUAAAUUUGAACAAUGUUAAGUGCUACUGUAAUAAUUACGUUACUUGGAGUGUCAGUGUUGUUCCGCAGUUCAACUUCAGUAGUCGCCCCCUCAGUUUGGUCUGGUCAAGCAGCCAUCUGGGAACUAACCGGUUCGUCAGUGAUCUUACAGUGUACAUCAGAAGCAUACCCCAUCUCCGGCUCAUAUUGGGUUUUCGACGGUGAUUUACUAGUAAAUGAUGAAGAUAGAUAUACAGACAGACAACUUCGAGAUAAGAUGGAGGAUCCAGCUCUAGAACAAUCAGACAUUUAUAUUGUUCUCAGCCAACAUCAAAUGGAAACCCAAGAGCUGUUAACUACAUUAUGACUUGGAAGCGGGGAGGGCGCACAGUCUCCUUGGUCAGAUGGUUGGUCCCCAGCACACGACGCAGCCAAAAAAAAUGCUUUAAUGUUAGUCAUAACAUUGGUGACAAUAUUAACCAUGGUGACGACAUAAAUUUACUCAGGAAUUAACGAAUUUAUGACGUUUAAAGUGGGGUGAUCAGUGUGCUAGUGAACUUAUCAAAUGAAAUGUUAAUACGAACUUUUAUAAGUUCGGUGUCAUUUUUAUGUAUCGAAAAUGUUACAUAAUUGCCAGCCAAACUGUUACUUGUUACUGAAAUACGUGUUUGAGCACUUGAUGCGUUCCUACAAAGCUUGUGAAGAGUUCCCUGAGGAAGACUGCUCCAACCAUUUUUAAAUGGUUUCAAAUCCAGAAACAUUCAGUAUAUACGUAAUAAUGUAAAUACAAAAUGUUUGUUCGAAGCUAUUUUUUUAUUGAUCCUAAUGGUAUUCCAUAAAAAUAUAUUGCAACCUUCUGAAUUGAAAUAUUAGA